UUGUUUCACUCUUACUCAUUCAUUUAAUUAGUUAUUUUUUCCCAAUUUUACGGGUUUUUUCUAUGAUUAUUUCUUUCAUUUGAUUAUUUGAUCUUUUCGGGUUUUGAGGUUUCUUUUUAGUUUAUUGUUUGAAUAGUUUUUUUUCUUUCUGUUGUUUCACUCUAACUCUUUUCUUUAAUUUAUUAUUUUUUUUCGCAUUUUACAGGUUUCUUGAUUAUUUCUUUCCUUUGAUUAUUUGAUCUUUUCAGGUUUGAGGUUUCUUACUAUUUGUAUAUUGGAAUCGAAGUUAAUUUUUU
rnacentral:lncRNA from 1 species